rnacentral:rRNA from 1 species
GAAUGUCAAAUUUCUAGUAUGAGAAAUUAACGAUUUAAGUCCUUCUUAAAUGAGACCAUUUACCCAAAGAGGGUGCCAGGCCCGUAUAACGUUAAUGAUUACUAGAUGGCAUUUCCAAAGAGUCGUGUUGCUUGAUAGUGCAGCACUAAGUGGGUGGUAAACUCCAUCUAAAACUAAAUAUAACCAUGAGACCGAUAGUAAACAAGUACCGUGAGGGAAAGUUGAAAAGAACUCUGAAUAGAGAGUUAAAUAGUACGUGAAACUGCUUAGAGGUUAAGCCCGAUGAACCUGAAUAUCCGUUAUGGAAAAUUCAUCUUUAUGAUUUUAAUAUUUAUAAUAUUAUAAUAAUGGUGUGCAUUUUUUCUAUAAAGGACAUUGUAAUCUAUUAACAUAAAUAUAUUUAUCAUAAGAUCAUUUGCGUAAGUUUAUUCAAAUUAUUUUGCUUGCAUUUUAAUAUCGAAUAAAUGCUUUUGAUUUGAUAAAGUGUUGAUAGAUUUAUUAUAUAUAGUGCUUAAAUAUUUAUAUUUUAUAAUAGCAUAUUGAUCAUUGAUCUUUAUGUUUAUUAUAUGCACUUAUAUGAUUAACAAUGCGAAAGAUUCAGGAUACCUUCGGGACCCGUCUUGAAACACGGACCAAGGAGUCUAACAUAUUUGCAAGUUAUUGGGAAUAAAAACCUAAUAGCGUAAUUAACAUAACUUUAUUAAUGGGAUUAGUUUUUAGCCUAUUUAUAGUCUAUUAAUUCAAUCCCGGGGCGUUCUAUACAGUUAUGUAUAAUAGUAUUUAUAUUAUUUAUACCUCUAACUAGAGCGUACCUUGAGCAUAUAUGCUGUGACCCGAAAGAUGGUGAACUAUACUUGAUCAGGUUGAAGUCAGGGGAAACCCUGAUGGAAGACCGAAACAGUUCUGACGUGCAAAUCGAUUGUCAGAAUUGAGUAUAGGGGCGAAAGACCAAUCGAACCAUCUAGUAGCUGGUUCCCUCCGAAGUUUCCCUCAGGAUAGCUGGUGCAUUUAAAAAUUAUGUAAAAUAAUCUUAUCUGGUAAAGCGAAUGAUUAGAGGCCUUAGGGUCGAAACGAUCUUAACCUAUUCUCAAACUUUAAAUGGGUAAGAACCUCACCUUUCUUGGUAUGAAGGUAGUGGUUGUGAUAUAAUGUGCCCAGUGGGCCACUUUUGGUAAGCAGAACUGGCGCUGUGGGAUGAACCAAACGUAAUGUUACGGUGCCCAAAUUAACAACUCAUGCAGAUACCAUGAAA